GGGUAGACUUCUGGCUCCUUUGACCCCUCCAGGGGGUUGAAUCUGAUUCUAGGGAGAUGGCAGCCCCAGAUGUGUGGCGAGAAGGUGGCUGGAGGAGGAGACUGGACUGAACGCACCCCCCUUCUCUCCUCUGCUCUGGCUGGAACCGGCAGGGGCCCAGUUAAGCUGCAUCUCCCAGCGGCUCCUGGAAUGCCUGUCGAGUCUUACCUGGCUCCAGGGCUGCGUGCUCCUGGUGGGCAGGACUGCAUCCUCAGCUCCCGGCACAGUGCCUGGCAGAGAUUCGGUGCUCAGUGCAUGCUGAGGAAUGAAUCAUUGGGUGGGACACGCCGCGGGGAGGGGGGACUCUCUGGGGUUUGUGGCUUGAAACCUAACAGCCUCUGUUGCAUACCCUCUUUGGCUCCAGUGACCCGAGUGAUCUACAGGCUAGACUAAGGGAAGGACUUCCCUGCACUCAGGGCAGGAGUGCAGAGGACAGGCAGAUUCUUACUUGAAAAGAGCUGGCCUAGGGGCGACUGGGGCCGGCAAUGACCCUGAUUCUGUGGCAGAGGUCGGAGGUCACCUCUGUCCUCUCUCCAGCUUUAGGAUUUUUCAGAAGGUUGGAAAGUCCUUUUCUUCCCCCCCCCCACCAUGGGUGUGAGCAUGUCCCUUGCUCUCUUUAGGUCUGGGUUUCUUGGACUCUAGCUGAGGCAGUGGAGCCCACCUCUGAGCCUCCAAGGCUGGGCUCUGAGGUUGUUUAGCUGCUCUGGGCACCACGGACUGCCCGUAUUGGUUAUUAACGUUUAUUUGAGAACACAGGGUUCAGAUCCUAAAAAUACCUUGUCCGGCUGGAGCCUAGGAGUUGCCGACCUGGGCUUGUGUAGCAGUGGCUGCAUCUUGAUCCGAUAGAUGCAGAGCCAGGAGAAACUAGGAGAAUGUGGGGAAACUGAGGCAGCAUGGAUGGGAGAUGCACAGGAGACAGAGCCUUUGUUUUGCAUGGAACAAAGGUUUAUAAAAUGAAUGGUGCCAGUUAGUCAAAUUAUGGCAACAUUUAGGGAAAUCUGUUAUCCUACACUGCAGAGAACUUCCUUCUCAGAGAGUCUGG
rnacentral:lncRNA from 1 species